rnacentral:rRNA from 1 species
CGGUGCGAAGGCGGCGUUCUGGACCAUCGACGUGAGGGCGGAGCAAGGAGCACGAUAGAUACCGUAGUCCUGGCCUAACGUGGUACUAGUAGUAGACAGAAUCGGUUACUGCGGAGCAAAAGUGCUAGUACCCGCCUGGGAGUAUGUCGCAGCUGAAACUCAAUGAUGACGGGGCUCACACAAGCGUGAGCAUGUGCUGAUUCGAGGCUACGCGAAGAACCUAUCCUGGACUGACAUGUCGAAAGAGGCAGGAAGUAGCCCGCGGAAACGUGGGGCCAACGGUAUCCAACCCGGAACCUGCCACAGGUGCUGCAUGGCUGUCGUCAGCUCGUGUCGUGAGAUCUCGGGUUAAGUCCCAUAACGAGCGAAACCCAUACCCUCAGUUGCCAACGGCUCGGCCGGGGACUCUGGGGGGACUGCCGGUGUCAAACCGGAGGAAGGUGGGGAUGACGUCAAGUCCUCAUGGCCUUUAUGUCCAGGGCUGCACACGUGCUACAAUGGCGUGGUACAAAGUGACGCGAACGCGCGAGCGGGAGCAAAUCACAAAAAACACGCCCCAGUUCAGAUCGCAGGCUGCAACUCGCCUGCGUGAAGUCGGAAUCGCUAGUAAUCGCGGGUCAGCAACACCGCGGUGAAUGUGUUCCUGAGCCUUGUACACACCGCCCGUCAAGCCACGAAAGGGAGGAACGUCCGAAGUCGCCUUCACCGGCGCCGAAGAUGGGACUCCUGAUUGGGACUAAGUCGUAACAAGGUAGCCGUAA